AUGAACGCUGGCGGCGUGCCUAAUACAUGCAAGUCGAGCGAACAGACGAGGAGCUUGCUCCUCUGACGUUAGCGGCGGACGGGUGAGUAACACGUGGAUAACCUACCUAUAAGACUGGGAUAACUUCGGGAAACCGGAGCUAAUACCGGAUAAUAUAUUGAACCGCAUGGUUCAAUAGUGAAAGACGGUUUUGCUGUCACUUAUAGAUGGAUCCGCGCCGCAUUAGCUAGUUGGUAAGGUAACGGCUUACCAAGGCGACGAUGCGUAGCCGACCUGAGAGGGUGAUCGGCCACACUGGAACUGAGACACGGUCCAGACUCCUACGGGAGGCAGCAGUAGGGAAUCUUCCGCAAUGGGCGAAAGCCUGACGGAGCAACGCCGCGUGAGUGAUGAGGGUCUUCGGAUCGUAAAACUCUGUUAUUAGGGAAGAACAAAUGUGUAAGUAACUAUGCACGUCUUGACGGUACCUAAUCAGAAAGCCACGGCUAACUACGUG
rnacentral:rRNA from 1 species